rnacentral:rRNA from 1 species
GACGAACGCUGGCGGCGUGCCUAAUACAUGCAAGUUGAGCGCUGAAGGUUGGUACUUGUACCAACUGGAUGAGCAGCGAACGGGUGAGUAACGCGUGGGGAAUCUGCCUUUGAGCGGGGGACAACAUUUGGAAACGAAUGCUAAUACCGCAUAAAAACUUUAAACACAAGUUUUAAGUUUGAAAGAUGCAAUUGCAUCACUCAAAGAUGAUCCCGCGUUGUAUUAGCUAGUUGGUGAGGUAAAGGCUCACCAAGGCGAUGAUACAUAGCCGACCUGAGAGGGUGAGCGGCCACAUUGGGACUGAGACACGGCCCAAACUCCUACGGGAGGCAGCAGUAGGGAAUCUUCGGCAAUGGACGAAAGUCUGACCGAGCAACGCCGCGUGAGUGAAGAAGGUUUUCGGAUCGUAAAAAUCUGUUGGUAGAGAAGAACGUUGGUGAGAGUGGAAAGCUCAUCAAGUGACGGUAACUACCCAGAAAGGGACGGCUAACUACGUG